UGGAGGAGCUUGGCGGUGGUGGUUGCAAUGGUCGUGGUGGAGUUCGUGGUGGUUAUUAAUAUGGUGGUGGUUGGUACGGAAGAGGAAGAAGAGAGUAGAUCGGAGAAAGAAUUGAGCGGCAGGCACAGAGAGCACAUGCAGCGAGACUAAGAAAGCAGAGAGCACAGCAGCAGCAACAAGAACAUAGCGGUGAGAUCUAACCGGUAGCCAAUCCAGCUGCGGGUUCUGUAACCUUCAGCAGCUUUAUGUGAUCUUUUCUGUGAAGCAUACUCUGAUACUUCUGCAACGCAGAAUCGCUCAUCUCCCCUCAAAGAUAUCAUACUAUACAGUAUCCAGGAAACAACAAAUUUUGUCAGAAGUUGUGUAUUUUGUUCAAUGGGGUCAUCUUUUUCAGUAAGUUGUGUUUUUCUAUUUGUUUUAUACUGCUAACUUUCAGUUAUUUAAAAUUUAAAUUUUGAAUUUAAAAUUAAGUUGAAAAGAAGAGAUUCAUUUUU